GUAUUUUGAAUUGUUUAUUCAUAAUAUUUUUCAGACAAAGAGUUAAAAGAUAAAGGUUGAUGUUUGGUCGAUCUCCAAGAAGAAGAUCGACUGACAUUGCACACAAGGUGGAUAUGGAUUUUUAAAGAGUGCCAUAAAACACUCGUUUGUGAAUGAUCCUUCCGCAGGUUCACCUACGGAAA
rnacentral:misc_RNA from 1 species